rnacentral:rRNA from 1 species
GAGUUUGAUCCUGGCUCAGGACGAACGCUGGCGGCGUGCCUAACACAUGCAAGUCGAACGGAGAUUAUUAAAGAAGCUUGCUUCAAUAAUAAUCUUAGUGGCGGACGGGUGAGUAACGCGUGGGCAACCUACCUAUAAGAGGGGGAUAACAGUUGGAAACGACUGCUAAUACCGCAUAAGCUUCCUAUAAAUAAAUAGGAAGUAAAGAUGGCCUCUGAUACAAGCUGUCACUUAUAGAUGGGCCCGCGUCUGAUUAGCUAGUUGGUGGGGUAAAGGCCUACCAAGGCGACGAUCAGUAGCCGGCCUGAGAGGGUGGACGGCCACACUGGGACUGAGACACGGCCCAGACUCCUACGGGAGGCAGCAGUGGGGAAUAUUGCGCAAUGGGGGAAACCCUGACGCAGCGACGCCGCGUGAGCGAAGAAGGCCUUAGGGUCGUAAAGCUCUGUUUUAAGGGACGAAGUCUCUCCGGAGUAAUAUAUCGGAGAGGUGACGGUACCUUACGAGAAAGCCCCGGCUAACUACGUGCCAGCAGCCGCGGUAAUACG